ACCCCAUUCUUCUUUCCUCAGCCAGAUGCUCUCUCUGCCGCUGUGCCGCCUUAAGGUAUCGUUUUCCCCUCUCUCUCUUCUCAUCUAUAAAGAAACAAUUGAAGAAUAGCUCGUUGUAUAUGUUACAUUUAGAUUUGGUUGUUUUUGGUUUUGCACGAUCUCCCGGGCUUCUCUGACUGGUUUUGAUUGAAGAAGAACGCCCCAAUGUUCGUGCUAGAUCGCGACGCCGUUCAGUGUUGCAGUUUAGCCUUUGUACCUUUCUGUUCCAUGGCUGAAUUUGUGUCAAUUUGACGGCUACAUUCUUCAAUUUUAAGUUUUUUUCUAUCAGUUCGCGGUGUUGCCCGCCACACCUCUAGCUUUUUUUCUGAUCGAAAUGGUUGCGCUGGAAAAAGGUCUAGUCAUGGGGGCACAGAUCGAUCCCGGCGGUGUCAACGUGGGGCUAAACUAUUUACUUCUGUUUUGCUCCUAAGAACAUCGCUAUAGUUUUACAUGAGUUUUCUUGCUUUUUUUCCUAUCAAAUUACAUGAAUGCUUGGCUGUGGUCUGUUCCCUGUUUCUGUUUCCCGAAAAUUAAGAGUUUUUAGGAUAUUCUUGUUUUUGAAAGCGGCUUAUAGAAAACUGGAAAAUAAAAUGUAGCUUAUUUUUUUUUCUACCUAUAAAGUUCUUCCUUUUUGUGUUUCCUAACUUUGUUGGCAAUGAUUAUAUUUUAUCCGCGCUUCUGAAAUAUUGAUGAAGCAUAAACGAAAUAGAAUGGUUGAAUUUCUUGAUAUGAGCUGACGUUGAAGUUGUGCUAGUACUUCGGUCUGUAAGUAUUCUUUAUUGUUUUUUUAACCGGCAGUGAUGAUCAUUUACAGCUUUUAAACGCCAGUUCUGCUUCAGAAAAUUCUUGAUUGAAAGAGCUGUCAUGUACUCUGAGCCUAAAUUUCACAGUGAAAAAUGUGUUUAUCUUAUAAUAUUCUUUCAGAUUUUUUACUUGUGAAUCCACCUUCGCUUGAUUUUCUUGGACAAUUAGUAAUGAAUCUUUAACUGAUUUAACGUCUGGAUGGUUUUGGAGAUUAUGGAAAUAUGGGUUGGUGAUUGAUUGUUUUUUUUCUUUAUUGUCAUUUUUGUUGUUAAUGUUAUUCAUCUGCCAGUGAUGAUAUGAUCCAUGUUGUUUGAGCUGUAGGUGAGCCAAGUCCCUGUAUUUGCAGGGAGAACCUACUUGGCGAACCUCCAUUGCAUAUGAUAGUUAAGGAUUUUACUGAGGCAAAAUGGUAUAAUGUAUUUUGUUUUCAGAUAAGUGGUAAAUGCAUUGUUUUCCAACUAAUGAAGUGUUUGGGGCUCAAUGAGGUGUACUCAUUGUAUCUUAUUUUGUUCCCUAAGAGCAUAUGAUAGAAAAAGCCUUCCUGUUUAGGACUCUAAUAUUUAUUUGUUUUUAUUGUCACUUGAAUCCCAGAGAGUUGUUGAACUGCGUAGGAACUUUGUAGAAUGUACAUUCCAGAAGAUAUAGAUUGGAUAUGAAUUUUUUCAUUUUCAGUUGUGGCAUUAAUGUUAUUUAGUUUCCAGUGAAGAUAUGUUCCAUGUUGGUUGAGGUGUAGUGGAGCUAAGUCCCUGUAUUUGCAGGGAGAACCUACUUGGUGAACCUACAUUUUGCAUGAUAUUAUCGGAUCUUACUGAGGAAUAAGGAUUUCAUUUUUUGACAAACAUAGAUUGCAUUUAAAAUGGAUAUCUGUUUUGUGGUCAGUUGCAAUUCUUUAUAUUAUAUAGUUGAAAUUGUAACCCAAGUUUGGGGUGGGUCAGAACUUGGUAGCAUAUUUCCUCGAUACAUGGAUUCAGAAUGAGUAAUCUUUCAUUGUAUUCAUUUGUUGCAUUGAUGUUAUUCAACUGCCAAUGAUUAUAUGAUCCAUGGUGGAUGCAGUGUAUGGUAGCAAAUCCUUGCCUUUGUAGGGCAUUCUAUAUAGUGAACCUGCACUGGAUAAUGAUUAAGGUGUAAAAAAUUUAUUUUAAAAGGUGUAUUUAUUGUACUUUAUUUUAAAUGUUUACACACUUUUAUUGAUUGAUAAAUAUAUUUGUUUUUUUAAUAUAUCAAUAAUGAGUGUUUAAAUUUUAAAAAUAAUGUGCAAUAAAUGCAUUUUGUCUAAAAACAAGGUACAUUUAUUGCAUCUUAAUUAUUGUGGCAGUGGAAAUGGGAAAUGUUUUUGAUAGAAAACGAAAAUGUGAAAACGGAUAUUUUUUUAGAAAAAUAAGCAUAAAUAGGUCUGAAACGGGAAUAAGAAACCUUUUGGAAAGGGGGUGUUUCUGUUGCAGUCACCUGAAUCUGGGGAGUUUUAAAAAUUGCCACUUGAUCUGGGACACUACUGUGUAGUUUGUUUGCUGCGAAAUUGGUGAAGGGAAGAUUUAUUUUAUUUUCACCAUGAUUACGAUUGAGUUUAACUAUACCCUUCGCUCUUGUAAUUGGUGGGUUUAGGGUCUGAAAAACUCAAAUAUUCUGUGUUGUCAUCAGCUUCUUCUUUUGUAUUAUCUCACGAGAUUGGAGUUAAAUAACAGCACUAAAUUCAUUUAUUUGGUAGGGACUAUCCAUUAUUAGGUAUAUUAGUACUUUAGAUUAGAUGCAUAUUUUGGUUGGUCACUUGCUGCAUAUAAAUCUCAGAAAUAGGGCUUGAUAUGUUUGCCGUUAUCAUUUGAAACUUGAGCCCUUCUUGAACCCUAUUCACACUAUGAAUAUUUCCAUUAAUAUUCUGAUUUUCAAUUUGUACAUUUCCUCUUGUGAAAUGUUGAUUCUCAAUUCGUACAAGGGUUUAGAACUGCCUAGACCAUCUUCCAUGUAGAGGUGCUGUUAGAGAGACAGAUCUCGAACUUAAUAAUGUCGUGCACCAUCUUAUUAUUGUGGUUAACCAGGGAUGCAUCUAAACCCUUAAUGUCAACUAGAUCGGAUGAUGAAAGUUGGUCCAGGCAGGAAGUUUCCACCUUUUAUGCACGUGAUUGACGUUGGUGGAUUACUGGAUUAUGUAGAAGACAUUAUAUGACAGAUAGAUGACGUGGCAAUGAAAUAACGUGGAAUGCUAAUAAUAUAGGGGAAGUUUACUGACGUUUAUAUAUUUGAGUUUGCUUAGUAUAGGGGAAGUGAACUCUGAAAGCAGUCUCUGGUAUAAAAGAAAGAACGUUUCAAUAAACUUCUACAGUGCUUCUAGGGUUACUAAAGAUAAACGGAGGACAAUCAAGCAUCAGUCUAGUUGGUUUGAUCUAAUGGGCCGCAAGUGUGCUGUCCCGGUUGAUCAUCAAUGGUUUGAUGAAGUAACGGUCAUGGAUUGUAUGAAAACGAUUGAAUAUGUUCCUGCUGCGCUGGAUUGGAGGAUUCUGGGAAAUGAAAGGGUAAUGAAAGUAUUAAGUAUUAUUAGCCCCACCGCAAGUUCCUGUGGCGUUAACGCUUACUGCAGACCAAAUCAACUAACCCUACUUUAGUGCUUUUGUGAAAUAGGCUAUGAUGGGAACCCCUGUCCUACGGAUGUCAAGGUAAGAGUUCUAUGUAGCCUUAUUUCCAAAUCAAGUACAAAGUCACUCACAUGUUAUUUUCCUCGUGCUUUCUCUUUGGUGAAUGCCAGAUAUUUACAUGUUAUUUUUCUCGUGCUUUCUGUUUGGUGAAUGCCAGAUAUUUACGAGUGUGCAAAAGAUAGCCUGAAUAGUUGUAGCCACAGGUGUAUAAAUACAAAUGGGAGCUACAAAUGCGAUUGCCCCUUGGGGAUUUGUCCUCGUUAGGGACGGCUCUCGGAAGAAGGCAAUCGUUCUGGGAAUUUGCACAGGUCUUGGAGUACUAAUUUUAAUACUUGGUGUUUGGUGGUUGUGGAAAGUAAUGAAGAAAAGAAAUUAACCUAAGGAGAAGUGUUUCAAAUGAAAAGGUGGCUUGUUAUUGGAACAACAGAUAUCAUCAAGGGUAAUGUUGAGAAUACCAAGUUAUUCGCAUCAAAGGAAUUGGAGUAGGCCACCGACAACUACAACAUGAACCAAGUUCUCUAGGUCGGGAAGGCCAAGGAACUUUUUACAAAGGUAACAGAUAGAAAAAUUGUUGCUAUCAAGAAGUCUAAAGUGUUAAAAUAAUUCAUCAAUGGGGUUGUCAUUUUAUCAAGAGAAAACCACAAAACAUUGUUGUUAAAAUAAAAUUUUGAUUUGAGAUGCACAUAUAGAAUUAGAAUUAAGAUAAAAUUGGAGUGAAUCAUGACUUUAAUUUUUAAAUUUUAUCUCAAAGCUUUUUAUGGAAUUCAAGUAGAUUGGGUAGAAAGUGAGGUGGAAUUUUAAUUUCAUUGAAUUCUAAUUCUCUCCUCACUUCUUAAGAAUUUUAAUUUUUUAUUUUCAAGAAAAAAAUUUAUUUAUUGAUUUAAGGGUAUGUUUGAUUGCAUUACUUAGAAUUUAAUUUUAGGUAAUGAUUGUCUAAAAAAUAAAAAUUAUUUCACCUUUUUGAAAAAUAAAUUUUAUGAAAGAAAUUUUAAAUAGUUGUACUUUAUACAUUUUUUUAUAGAAAAAUUGAAAGAUUGUUUGAUUAUUUUCAUAGAAAAUAUGUAAUAAUUAUAUAUUUUAUAUGGUAAAUGUGAGCAAUCAAUUACACUCUAAAAUGAAAUUCAAAUUUAAUAGGGAAAAAAAGUUGUUUGAUGAAAUUUUUUAAAAUUUAGAUAGAAAAUGAAUUCUAUUUUUUUUUUUUACUCGUAUCAAAUGUACCCUUAUUAAUGUUGAAAUCUGAAUUGAGGGUUGCCUUCAGCCGAACCCAUUUCUCUCUAACAGUCUUUGCCAAACUCCUUUUUCUCUCUAAUAGCCUUCGUCAAACCUUUUCGUCAUAUUUUCCCCUUGUACUUGUUACUUAGUGUUUGAUGCUAUUGUUUGCUCUGCUUUUCAUCGUUGCAAAUCUCAAUUAUGUGGUGUCUUCUUGAGAUGAUCGUCCUUACACGAUUUUUGGUAUUUGUGUCUUCGAUUAUAUUAAGAGAGGUAAAUCUCAAGUUGGGCAUUUGACUCUAUGCAAGACGAGAAUUGAAUUUAUAACUCAUUAGAUUGACACUGACAUAUUACUCAUCCGACCAUUUAGUUACGAGGUCCCUCAGUUUGAAUGGUGUUUGGUUGCACUUAGUAAAAACGUUUUUGCCCACAUGUUGCACAAGUUCUGCAUUUGAUUACUAAAAUAUUUUUUUUUAUUAAUACAUAGUGAGAUAAAAGCUAAAUAUGUUGUAGUUGUGAUAAAUUUGCUCAUUGAAAUGUUGCAUGAAUUGCUUGCAAAAUGAAAAGAUCUGUUCCAACAAGAAGAACAACCAAACCAAGUUAUAUCAAUGGUUUUUUUUUAAGUAACUUUGUUUCUGCUCAUGGUCAAUAGACUAGUAUUUCCUAUUCUCAAUUCAAUGAACUUUCAGGAAGUCAUUAUAAACAAUAUUAAUUCAUUUUUAAGCAAUAUUAAUUUGUUUUUAUAAAAUUCUGUUAUUAUUAACAUAAAUUUACAUAAAUUAAAGGAUAUUUUUAGUUAUUUUUAAGAUUUUACAAAUUUACAAUUCAAAUUUAUAAUUUCGAUUUUAUGGAUCUUUUUUUAAUUUCAUUCAAAAUCUCCAUUUUAUCAACCAUGCACCUAAAUGUGAUUAAGCUGCUUGGAUGUUAUUUAGAGACAAAAGUUCCAAUGUUAGUUUAUGAGUUCAUCCUUAAUGGAACUCUCUUCCAUUUUAUGCACGACCAAAAUGAGGAGUCUCGCUUACCUGGGAUCUAUGCUUGCAGAUUGUUGCAGAAGUUGCAGGUGCUCUAUCCUAUCUGCACUCAGCAGCUGCCAUUCCCAUUUAUCAUUGUGAUAUCAAGUCUACUAACAUACUUUUAGAUGAUAAGUAUAGGGCAAAAGUCUCUUGAAUUUGGCACUUCAAGAUCAAUUCCUAUUGACCAAACUCACUUGACCACAUUAGUUCAGGGCGCCUUUAGUUACUUAGACCCUGAGUACUUCCAAUCAGGUCAGUUCACAGAAAAGAGUAAUGUCUAUAGUUUUGGGAUAGUUCAGGGCGCCUUUAGUUACUUUGGGAUAGUACUUGUUGCGCUAUUAACAGGGCCAAAGCCAAUUUUGUCAGCUAGAUUGGCUGAAGAAGGGAGGGAGGUUGUAAUGGAGUUGGAAGGUAUCAAAAUGCCUAAUGGAGCUUUAACUCCUGUUAUGGAGACUCAUUGUGAAGAGCAUGAAUAUACCAUGGAUGAAUUUUCUGGACCUUGGGAGCCUGCUUCACCUUCUACAGGAUCGUUUUCGAGUGGAAGCACGAUUCAAGUAUCAGAUGCCAAAUCCCAGUUGUUAAGAGAAGUGAUUGUAGUGGGAAAAUUAUAUUGUUCCAGAAUUUGUGAGAAGAACGAGGCAUCUUGUUUCUGAAUUUGAUUAUGUGAACAAAUGUUUUAAAUCAGUUGGAAAUUUUGACAACCCCUCUUAUGGGUGUUCAAGUUCUGUGACUGAAAGUUAAGUGGAAUACAAAUUUGUUCAGUUAGAGGGUAUAUUUGAGUUUGUAUGUAGGAGGGAGGUCAACAGUGAAACUACUCUGCGUAUUAUUUCAUUAAGCAAAGAAGAAAUAUCCGUUUUGUUUUUU